UUAAAAAAAAUCAUAUUCAUCUCCUCCUUCGUAAAGAAACCCUAAGUGACCUUAACUCUCUCGUAUUCAACCUUUUCUCUCCAAAUUGUAGUCUCCUCAGCUUUGAUUUUAAAUUUCUCUGAUUUUUUCCUUCCGUUCAGUUUUUCGUAAACCUUUUCAUUUUUAAUUUUUUCCAUUCAUUCAUAUUCAAACCCUAACAAUGAUUUAAAAUUAGAAUCACACCUCUUCAAUGUCGGUAUCGAUAUGAAACCUAAUAACCAACCCUAGCAAUCAUUUGAACCUUCAUUUUCUCUUUGUUCAAUCGUAAAUCCGCAGUUCCGCAAUCAAAUUUUCUGCUGCUCUGUUGUGUUGCUCUGUAGUCCAUAAUUCUGCAACCAGCCGUUCUACUCCUUUUGCCGUGAAAACCAAAAGCUGCUCGCAAAUUGUACGCAAAGAAUCCAUCAUCGUAUGAAGGAAAAUUCCGCAAACAGUGAGUAUCUCAAUAACCCUGUUUUCUUUUAUCAUCAUUUUCCUUCCACCUCCCGGUAUUGCACAUCGCGAUUUGCGGCAUUGAUUUAGUAUAGUUUCAACCAAUCCUUAUAGGAUCUUGUACAGAUCUAUUCCGACGUAUGUGUAUAUGUUGUUACAAAUUCUAUUUCCAUGUUUAUUUCUAUUAAAUUCCCAUUCUUGUAUCUCUUUUGUGUUUGCGGUUAUAAUUCUAAUGUGAGAACAGUUAGCUACAUGAUAAUAUACUUUCUGCCGCAAACAUGGCGAUGUUUUGGUAGCUAGAGAUUGAAGACAAAGCAUCGUUUCUCGAAAUUGAUUUAUCUAUUGUUGAUCUCAAUUCCAUUCACCUCCCACAUGGCAUAUUGAGAUUGAUGAUGAAGAAGUUUUUCAAGAGGAGAAUGAGUUUGGUAUUGGUUUUGGCAACAUUAUAGUAGUGGAUAAUCCCCCUAUUGUUAGAAAAAAUUUAAUCAGAUGGCAACAUUGAAGGUGUUAUUAGAAAAAAUUUAAUCAGAUGGGUGUUAUUAAGGAUGAUGGCUUCUGGAUGCUUGUUGAUCCUUUGACUGAAAAGACAUUUGGUUACUACUUCAUUAAGUACAAUAUUCCUCAGUGAGUUUAUUUGCUUCAUCCAUCAAUCCAAAGCAUGCCAUAUCUUUUAAUGAUGCGGACUAGCUGAAAAUAUGGAAGUUCAAAAUCCAUGGGCGACAUAUCUUUUAGUGCUCCUGUUUCUGAGCCUAUCUCCAUGAUAGCAAGUGAAGCAAUUUUGCCAAUAAAGGUGGAAGCAAAUGAGAGAAUCUUUGACUUGAAGAUUGCGGGUGAGAGAAUCUCAAGAAUCUUUGACUUCAAACGUAACCUCACAAUCUUUGAUUGAGAGAUUUGUGUUAAGCUUAUCCAUUAUAGUUCAGCCUCUCUCGGUUAUUUCAUUUAUGUGAGGUUUCCAAUUUCAUCACAUAACUAUUGGCUUGAACUGUAGCUUAUGUUGUACACUCUUCCUAUUUUUUUAUAUAGAUAACCCGCAACUAUUUUAUUUUACUCAUCUUAUAAUAUAUGGUUCCAUUUCAUGCCUUGUAUACAUUUUAUGAUUUAUGCUUGCAGAGUCUAACUAUUUUUGUACACAGGAAGUUUGAAAUAUGGUGAGUGUCCAUGUCACUUGCAAGUUGGAAGUCGGCAUCGACUUCCAUAAUAGAACCUCCAAAUUAACUUUUUGUUUAUGUUAAGCUUUAUAAUAGCGGCUAGUCUAACUUUCAACUGGUCUGAAUUUCAUUAUGAAAUGGCUUCACCAAAUUAACUCAGUACAAAUGUUCAUAUUGAAUAGCCUCGCUGAAUCAACUCGCCAUGAUUAAUGACUCGCUUGUGGUGCUAUCAUAUGAAUCCAGCGUGUGAGACAAAUGAGGGUGAGGGAAGAUGAAUUUGAAGGGUUGAAUAUUCUUUUGGUGAAACCUGAUCUUUCUCAUGUAGACAUCACAAGGCUAUUAAGAGAUUGGGGUUCCUCUGAAUGGUAAAUCGGUCAAGUAAAACAACGUGGUAUGAUAUUUGGAAGUAUUCAGCAGAGGAUUUGAGGCGAGUUGACCCAGGUCGGGAGGACUCUCCUGGAGCAGCAUUAGCUGAGUUCGAUGUUUGUUCCCGAUCAAUUCAAACUGUUCACACUCAGUCCUGUCACUUGGAAACGCCAUUGAUUCGAUAAGUUUUCUUCUCCUUUUUCGAUUCGUAAAUGGAGAAUUAUUGUGAUUCAGAAUUUACUAUUCAUUAAUAUAUAUGCUCUGUUAAUCCAUAUCAGUAUUGAUAUUCUGACUUCCAAGGUUCCAAUAUAUAAUUCUAGGGAACUCAAAUUACAUGUUUAGAACAAGGGCAGCAAGGUUUUAAUAAUUAUUGGGAGCAUGCUUUUGUCAAAUACUGGUAUGGAGAAUGUAUACAAUAUGCAUCCCAGUAGCCAUUCUCUGCCGCCUAGUUCUUUGCCUUAUGCUAGCGGUAAAGCUAGUGCUAGCAAGCUAGUUGUGAAGGUUGACGAAAAAGGUAAUGAAGAUCCCAAAUCAGGUGAAGCCCUAAUACUGAAUGAAGAUCGAAAGUUGUGGGUUGAUGUUCUCAAGGAUAACCGGAAUCAUGCUAAAGGUCGUAGUAUGAAAUUCAUAGCUCCCAAACUCGUUGAGGGAGGGAUUGAAGUAUCGAUUGAGGAGGCAGACAUAGUGGAUGAAAUUCUAUUCUGGCAACCUUCUCUUGUUCUUUAUGCCCUGGGUCGUGAAUUAAGUAUGUACGCUGUUAAAAAUUUUAUGAUUAAGAGCUGGAACUUUGUCCAAUUACCAGAUAUAUAUAUACUAUCACGAAGAGGGUUAUUUCAUCCUUAGGUUUAAGUCAUAUAGGGAUAUGGACGAUGUUCUGAUGAAGGGUCCCUAUUCUAUCAGGAAUAUGCCUCUGCUUAUCCGUGAAUGAAGACCUGACUUUAAUCUUCAAACUGAUCUUCUUCGCACUCUUCCCACCUGGGUAAAAUUUCCAAAUCUUUCCCUUUAUUUGUAGGGAGAAACGAGUCUCAACAAAAUUGGGAGUGCUCUUGGUGUUCCCAUAGCUAGUGACGGAUGAAUGCACUGCAAAUCGUUUACGCAUUUCAUAUGCUCGGAUUUUAGUUGAAAUGGACAUUACAAAGGACUUACCUACUGAGAUAACCAUUAGGGAAAAUGUGGGAGAAAAGAUGCAACAAUCUAUUGAAUAUGAAUGGCGCCCUAUCUUUUGUGGUAGAUGUCAGAAGUUUGGCCACAACUGUGAUAAACCAAAGCCUAAAGUUAAGAUUUGGCAACCAAAAUCAAAGCCUCCAGAUGAGAACAAGUCUCAAUCUUCCCCUGUUAAGAAUAACACGCCACCACCCCUUGAUGACCUAGUUGAGAAUAAAGAUCAGGACCUAUCUGGUAAAGUAGAUGAAACUGCCACAGUUGAGCAAACAAAUGAGAAUUGGACUGUUGUUAAUAAAAGUGGCAGGGAUCAUAGUAAAAGAAUAGAAGUAGAGGAACCUGAAUCUUCAGUGCUAAGUGCUAAUGGUUUUGAUGCUCUAUGGAUUUUGAAUGAUCUCCUAGUGCUACAAAAUCUUGUUUAAUGAUUAGUUCAUGGAAUGUGAGGGGGCUGAAUAAAAUUGGAAAGCUCAAAGAGAUAAGCUCCCGUCUCUUAGAGUUAAGGUCUGAUAUCAAUAUUUUGUUGGAAACUAGAGUCAAAGUUGACCAAGCUAUUAACAUAAGGAAUAAGCUCCACAUAGGGGGCCUCUUUCCUGAUAACUAUAGUUAGCAUGAUAAUGGUAGGAUUUGGAUGCAUUGGAAUCCUGAUAAUGUGGAGGUACAGGUGGUGUCCAGAACCAGUCAAAUGAUUCAUUGCAGAGUUGUUGAUGUGCAAAGGAAGUCCCAUUUCUGGCUAACAGCUAUAUAUGUGAUGAAUAAGCUGAAUCAGAGGAAACAUUUGUGGAAUGAUCUGAGCAACAUUCAGCUUCAAGGCCCUUGGGUAAUUCUGGGGGAUUUCAAUAAUGUCUUGAAGACUCAAGAUAGGAUCGGGGGCCAGAAGGUUACUGAGAACGAAUUCAUUGAUCUUUAGGGUUUCAUGGAUAAUAAGGGCCUUUCAGAAAUGAACAGUAGUGGUGAUUACUAUAAUUGGUCCAAUAAGCAUCUUGUUGGGGCCAUCUAUUCCACGAUCGAUGGAGUCAUUGCUAAUGCUGAUUGGUUUCAAAAUCACCUUGAUUAUACCCUGAAGAUUCUCCCUCCCCAUGUUUCUGAUCAUGCAUUAUUGCUUCUCACUAAUCAACAUCAAAUUCGCUAUAAAAAGAUAUUCAGCUUUAUAAAUUGUGUCACUGAGGUUGAUGGCUUUAUGGAGAUAGUUCAAGCUAAUUGGAAUAUUCCUCUUGCAGGUAGACCUAUGUAUGUUCUCUGGUCCAAGUUGAAGAGGCUCCAUCCGAUUCGCUAUAAAAUGAAUAAAUCUCUCAAUGUGUCUAAAGAUAAUAUCCUGCAGGCUAGGAAGAAUUUAGAGAGGGCUCAGAUUGAGUUGACAAAUGAUAGAAUGAACAAGCAGCUUAUUGAGGAAGUUAAAAUCUGUUAUGAUAAACUUGUUUAUUGGCAAGAGGUGGAUGACUCUAUUCUAAAGUAAAGGCUGAGACUAAUUGGUUGAAAGAUGGGGAUGGUAAUACAGCAUUUUUCCAUGCUGCUAUUAGAGCAAAGCACACUUCUAAAUCUUUGACUAUGCUCUUAAAAGAUGAUGGGGAAAUGAUUAAUUCUCAAGAUGAGAUUGAGAAUGAAGUCUUAGCCUUCUAUGAGACUCUUAUGAGCAAAGGGGAUGAUGAGUUGCAAGGUAUUGACUUGGUGGCUAUGAGGAAGGGCCCUCAAAUUUCCAGGGCUCAGAGUACUAAUCCGGCAAGUGGUAUGACCCUAGAGUGUGACACACUGAGGAACCACUCCAAGUAACCAUCCUGACACUAUCUAGGCGGUUGAACCACAACGGAUGUAUCAACGAUCUCACGGGGGAGCUAAGGAUGUGACUAUGAAACCAACGAUUAAUGCCAUCAGUUGGAGUCUCUAGGACCGGCCGUGGGAUACCCUGUAUAUAACCAUACUGCUGUAGACAUGGCUCUCCCAUCUGACAUACCCUGAAUAUAAAGAAGAUACAUCAAAAGGAAGAUGACUGCGGUGACCUGUAUACGGUGUCCAAAUGACAUCAUCCCGCGUUAGAGCAUCCAGCCUCCAGCUGUACUCAAUCACCCCUCCUGGAUGGGUCUGUUUGGCCUUCCACCUCCUCACACAAGGGUCAGCAGUCGCACAAUGCUGGGUAUUCCGCUCACAGAUGUGAGGGAAGUGCUUGUAGAUUCAACACUGCAUAAAUAAAAAUAAUCAAGUCCAAGUAAAUUAUAAUAAAACACAAAAAACCAUGUAAGAAUAUAUACCUGUAACAAGCCCAGAUAACCAGCAAACUAUCUGGUGUCAGGACGAGAUGCGGCAUCAAGCGCCAUGUACAACAUCGUCAAUGCUGCCACUCCCCAAGCCCAACAUGGGGUCUCAAGAUCGCUGAAUAGAGAUAGAUAGCGGACAUCUAUAUAAACUUUAGACUUGUCCUCAUAGAGAGUACAUGUCACUAGAUGUAGCAUGUACGCCCUAGCGGAAGUCUAGUACCUCCCUACAUUGACAAGCUCUUGAUAAACCCUCCUCAACCAAGACAUCUUGAGGUGAAAGCCCCGAGUGUCACCAAAAUCUUUAAGCACAACCAGCUCAUCAACCUAUAAAGCAUCCACCACCAUGUGCACCGCCGUCACUUGGUCCCUAUGAACUGAUGUGAAAAAUGUACCAGCUAUCGGAAGGUGAAAUAGAGAAUGCACAUCAUCCAGAGUCACCUUCAUCUCCCUAAAUGGAAGAUGGAAGGAUGAUGUAUUCGGGUGCCAUCUCUCAACAAAAGAUGAUAAUAGAGGGGCAUCCAACAUCGUCAGGGAGCAUCCAGCAAAGUCCAUCAAAUGGAAGUCCCGAACUAUCCUCGCCACCUGCUCAGGCAUCGGUCUAUCGGGGAAGUUCCUCAACUUCGACCUGUGAGAAGUGAGCUUCAACACUGGACGCUCAUCUAACAAAAAAAUACAAUUAAAACACAAUGUGUAAUAAAAAUUGCAUAAUAAAAAUUAAGCACUUAGGCAAUGUUACAUACCUUGCCCUGCCAUAUCCUAUAAGUGGCAUGGUCAGCAUAUCCUAUCAAAAUGGACCUGUCAGAAGGUCCUCCUAGAAAAGCUCCAUCAGUGUGUACUGAUGGCUCCGUAGAUGCACAAUGGUGGUAUCCGUAUCAUGCACCACCCGCUCCUCAGCAACCCCUUCCUUAACCACAACCACUCGCUCCUCAAUUCUAGGCACCUACUCGUCAACAACAACAAUCUCCUCCUCAGCAACAGGCAUCUGCUCCUCAACAACAGGCACCGCCUCAACCUCAACAACAGCCUCAACCUCAGCAACAUCAUCCUAAACCACCUUCUCGUCCACAGUAGUUGAUUCUCUACCACCCCGGCGGUAAGGUGCGCAGAACCCCCUACCCGCCUGCUCAGCCCAACAUUUUCGGUUAGAACCGGUCGGAGGAACUCGUCCAGCACAUAACACUGAGGUACCGGCCUCAUCAGCAGCUGCCCGAGCACGAGCAUCGGUUCUAUCAAUGGCCCGACCCGCAACAGUACCAUCUCUGCCUCUAGUCUGCACUAAAAAAAUUAAAAAUAUAAGCAAAAUAGCAUUUUAUUUAAAUAGAAAUACUGGAAAUUUCAAAAUUUUCGG